rfam:Triticum aestivum genome assembly, contig: Triticum_aestivum_CS42_TGACv1_scaffold_500306_6BL
CAUAUACUCCCUCCGUCCGAAAAUACUUGUCAUUGCAAUGGAUGUAUAUAGAUGUAUUUUAAUUAUAGAUACAUUCAUUUUCAUCCAUUUUGAUGACAAGUAAUUCCAGACGGAGGGAGUACAUG